AAUUGCGGCCAUAUCACGUUGAAUGCACCGGUUCUCGUCCGGACACCGAAGUUAAGCAACGUCGAGCUUAGUGAGUACUUUGAUGGGUGACCGCUUGAGAAGCUUAGGUGCUGUAAGCG
rfam:Octopus bimaculoides Scaffold36668_contig_22, whole genome shotgun sequence.